rnacentral:RNase_P_RNA from 1 species
AGAGUCGGCCGGGCAGUCGCUGCCUCCGCCAGCGAUGGCGGGAGCGGAGGAAAGUCCGGGCUCCGGCGGAUCGGGUGCCAGGUAACGCCUGGGGGGCGUGAGCCCACGGAAAGUGCAACAGAGAGCAGACCGCCCAAGUCCCUCGCGGGACCGGCAAGGGUGAAACGGUGCGGUAAGAGCGCACCGCGUCGGUGGCAACACGCGACGGCACGGUAAACCCCACCUGGAGCAAGGCCAAAUAGGGAAGCCGCGCCGGUCCUUUAAAAGGGGCCGGCGCAGCGCUGAUCCGCGCGCGCUUCCGGG